rnacentral:rRNA from 1 species
UCGAGCGCCCCGCAAGGGGAGCGGCAGACGGGUGAGUAACGCGUGGGAACAUACCCUUUGGUUCGGAAUAACUCAGGGAAACUUGAGCUAAUACCGGAUACGUCCGUAAGGAGAAAGAUUUAUCGCCAAAGGAUUGGCCCGCGUCCGAUUAGCUAGUUGGUGAGGUAACGGCUCACCAAGGCUACGAUCGGUAGCUGGUCUGAGAGGAUGAUCAGCCACAUUGGGACUGAGACACGGCCCAAACUCCUACGGGAGGCAGCAGUGGGGAAUAUUGGACAAUGGGCGCAAGCCUGAUCCAGCCAUGCCGCGUGAGUGAUGAAGGCCUUAGGGUUGUAAAGCUCUUUUGUCCGGGAAGAUAAUGACUGUACCGGAAGAAUAAGCCCCGGCUAACUUCGUGCCAGCAGCCGCGGUAAUACGAAGGGGGCUAGCGUUGUUCGGAAUCACUGGGCGUAAAGCGCACGUAGGCGGACCGUUAAGUCGGAGGUGAAAGCCUGGGGCUCAACCCCAGAACUGCCUUCGAUACUGGCGGUCUUGAGUAUGGUAGAGGUUGGUGGAACUCCGAGUGUAGAGGUGAAAUUCGUAGAUAUUCGGAAGAACACCAGUGGCGAAGGCGGCCAACUGGACCAUUACCGACGCUGAGGUGCGAAAGCGUGGGGAGCAAACAGGAUUAGGUACCCUGGUAGUCCACGCUGUAAACGAUGAGAGUUAGCCGUUGGGGUGCAUGCACCUCAGUGGCGCAGCUAGCGCGUUAAGCUCUCCGCCUGGGGAGUACGGUCGCAAGAUUAA